rnacentral:rRNA from 1 species
UACGUAGGGUGCGAGCGUUAAUCGGAAUUACUGGGCGUAAAGCGUGCGCAGGCGGUUCGUCGUGUCCGAUGUGAAAGCCCCGGGCUCAACCUGGGAAUGGCAUUGGAAACUGGCGGACUCGAGUGUGGCAGAGGGGGGUGGAAUUCCGCGUGUAGCAGUGAAAUGCGUAGAGAUGCGGAGGAACACCGAUGGCGAAGGCAGCCCCCUGGGCUAACACUGACGCUCAGGCACGAAAGCGUGGGGAGCAAACGAGGAUUAGAGUACC